UACGUAGGGUGCAAGCGUUAAUCGGAAUUACUGGGCGUAAAGCGUGCGCAGGCGGUUGUGUAAGACAGAUGUGAAAUCCCCGGGCUCAACCUGGGAACUGCAUUUGUGACUGCACAGCUGGAGUGCGGCAGAGGGGGAUGGAAUUCCGCGUGUAGCAGUGAAAUGCGUGGAUAUGCGGAGGAACACCGAUGGCGAAGGCAAUCCCCUGGGCCUGCACUGACGCUCAUGCACGAAAGCGUGGGGAGCAAACAGG
rnacentral:rRNA from 1 species